CCUACGGGUGCAGCAGUGGGGAAUAUUGGACAAUGGGCGAAAGCCUGAUCCAGCCAUGCCGCGUGUGUGAAGAAGGCCUUCGGGUUGUAAAGCACUUUCAGUGGGGAAGAAAGCCUUGGGGCUAAUACCCUCGAGGAAGGACAUCACCCACAGAAGAAGCACCGGCUAACUCCGUGCCAGCAGCCGCGGUAAUACGGAGGGUGCGAGCGUUAAUCGGAAUUACUGGGCGUAAAGCGCGCGUAGGCGGUCUGAUAAGCCGGUUGUGAAAGCCCCGGGCUCAACCUGGGAACGGCAUCCGGAACUGUCAGGCUAGAGUGCAGGAGAGGAAGGUAGAAUUCCCGGUGUAGCGGUGAAAUGCGUAGAGAUCGGGAGGAAUACCAGUGGCGAAGGCGGCCUUCUGGACUGACACUGACGCUGAGGUGCGAAAGCGUGGGUAGCAAACAGGAUUAGAUACCCCGGUAGUC
rnacentral:rRNA from 1 species